rnacentral:misc_RNA from 1 species
CACGAACCGUACGAACGUUAAUCGGAAUUACUGGGCGUAAAGCGCACGCAGGCGGUCUGUCAAGUCGGAUGUGAAAUCCCCGGGCUCAACCUGGGAACUGCAUCCGAAACUGGCAGGCUAGAGUCUUGUAGAGGGGGGUAGAAUUCCAGGUGUAGCGGUGAAAUGCGUAGAGAUCUGGAGGAAUACCAGUGGCGAAGGCGGCCCCCUGGACAAAGACUGACGCUCAGGUGCGAAAGCGUGGGGAGCAAACAGG